GAUGAAUGCUGGCGGCGUGCCUAACACAUGCAAGUCGAGCGGCAGCGAGGGGUGCUUGCACCCUGUCGGCGAGCGGCGAACGGCUGAGUAACGCGUAGGAAUUUGCCCCAAAGUGAGGAAUAACUGCCCGAAAGGGUAGCUAAUGCCGCAUAUGGCCUUCGGAUUAAAGGAUUUAUCCGCUUUGGGAGAAGCCUGCGUUGGAUUAGGUUGUUGGUAGGGUAAUGGCCUACCAAGCCGACGAUCCAUAGCUGGCCUGAGAGGAUGAUCAGCCAGACUGGAACUGAGACACGGUCCAGACUCCUACGGGAGGCAGCAGUGAGGAAUCUUCCACAAUGGGCGAAAGCCUGAUGGAGCAACGCCGCGUGAAGGAUGAAGGCCUUCGGGUUGUAAACUUCUUUUAUGAGUGAAGAAUAUGACGGUAACUCAUGAAUAAGCACCGGCUAACUACGUG
rnacentral:rRNA from 1 species